ensembl:lncRNA
UUAUUCUGAAAGGCUUAUGUGGAAAAUAAACAAGCGGACACGCGAUGGUUUUACAUCGUUGUUGACAACGCAUAAAAAUAGGCGCUUGUCAGGUCGUGUGGUUAUAUUAAAUAUAAGCGAAAGAGAGAACUUUCAAGAAAUGAAUAUAGCCACUACAGUGACCAUCAAGACCAUUAAAUUUGGAUAAUAAAACUCGAGGUGGAAACCAGGAGGCAGCCGGAAGAAUACAUCCGAGGACAGGACACAUCAAGAGAACCUGUACGCCGUGUCCCGUACGCCAGAAAGCUGCUCUACCAGGAGCUGCAGUCCGUGAACAUCAUCCCUCGACUCGAGCUGUCGCGCUACAGCGAGUGAGCAGGACAAGGACAGAGAUGUGUUGGGUGGAGACGAGGUUGUGCUCAGUGUGCUGAGGUGAAGCAUCCAAACCACACAGCCUGUUCUUCAAUCCGGGAUCGUGUCCCAAAUCAGAGCUGCGGAAGGGUAAGCGUCACAGUGAGUGUGCUGCAGCUGAUGUUGACCUGAAAAAUCGUGUCUCGCAGGUACAGUCUGCAGUCUGUGAAGUGGGGCUCCUGCUGCUCAGGUGUUCUCACUGAAGUCCGUUUCACCUGAUGAGAGGAGGCAGCUCUGACUUGAGGCUGUUCAAGAAUGAGCGCCACUUGAUCUGGUUCCACCUGUACCACAGGCAGAGAAACACAGGCCUGGACUCUUUGUUGGCCAGACAAAAUCAGAAACGGAAAUCAUUGGUUUUUACAACUGGGUCCAGUUCCACCUGCAAAGGAUAUGAGGCCAGGGAGCAUGAUUUGGUAAGUAUAACAUUUCACCAGACAGAAGAGUUUGAUUUCCUUUGAUUUCAGUAUUCUCAGCCGGUCGGCCUCAUGUGUGCCUGAUCACAAGUCGGUCCACUUCAUACAUGCACAGUAGCGCAGGCAAAUAGUUGCUCACACGCUCACUGUGGCCAUUAUUGAGCUCACGUUGGGUGGAGAUGAGAAGUUUCAAAGAGAUUUAAUUUAUAUAUUUUAUAUAAUAAAGUAAAUGUACGAAUGACCGGCAAUAAUUCAGUCACUGAAAUUAUCCAUGAAAUUAGCUAAGUAAUUCCUAAAAGUCUGUAGAUUGACUUUUACAACAAGGAAGCAGGUUUUCUCAUUAGCAGAAAUGCUCAAUAGACAGAAAAACAGAAACCCUAAAAGAAAGUUACCGCGAGAUUAAGAGAAACGGCCUUGUUUUACGGACACCACGGGUCAAGAAGGAGUCAGAAUAAUUUGUGUGUAUUUAUCCCACUUUUCGAGUUUCAUCGCUAAAUUGGUGUAGUUAGGUGCACAAGAUUGAAAACAAUUUGUUCUGAAAAAAUGCAGAUGAAGAGUUGUUUGUUGACAGUAUAGAUGGUUUGUUUUUAAACCUCUUACCACUCACAGAGUCCCCGGUGACGGUCUAGCUAUGUCAGAUGCCAGUCAUUUAGGAGACUAAUACUUUUUUGGGAUUUAAAUUGUGCUAACUCACUUUGUUCAACACAGCCCAGAGUAACAUUAAAAAUAAAACAUAUUAGAACUAAUUUUGUUGGACACAAGAAAAACUGAAGCAUCUUUGUAGGGAGCCGAACUAGGGCUUACAAGUUUUGCAGUGCCUUUGCAGGGACUUUGCUAUCUGCACAGAGCGUUUCUGGUGUGGCUUAUGCAAAAGAGAAUUGCAACAAUACAGCGUGUUUCUCUGCUCCCUUUCACACACCAUGGGUUGAGCCAGCCCUGCAAACCCUGUUGAUGGACGAUGCAGUGGACAGUGGGAGGAAGCAUCCUAAAGCUCUCUUUGCAGACCAGCCUGUGUGAUUCUCCACUCGCCGACCAGAAAAGACAAACGGCAUGUCUCAGUUGCAGCACCUCAUCCAUCCAUGUCUGAUCUUGCAUCGGCAGAUUCAGCAACACAGCCAGAGACUUCCUGUAAUCUAUUACAGUUGUUAAAAAAAAUGGUACAGGAACAGGUCGCUCAGGUUAAUCCUGUAUAAACAACUGUAAAUAUUGUUUUUCCUUCUUUAAAUAUUGUUGGCUUAUUAGAAAUAUUCUUGUUUAAUUGUUGUUCUCCAAAAAGUGGAGAAACAUCACUGAUGAUGUUCAUGAAUCCCCAGCUGACUCUGGUAAUCAUUUUAUGUUGUGAUUAUUAUGAUAAUAACAGAAACAGAUGCAUCUAUGUCAUGCAGUACUAAUUUAAAAACUCAAAUAUUUUGGACAAUUUAUAUUUUUCUAUCACAAUAAAUACAAGUCUUCAAGUAAACACACAGAGCAGUAGUGGAUGUUUUUUUUAAAAUAUUAUUUUUCUUUAUUUUGAUUAACCACCAACCACAUUGUUUAUAUUUGUAGUUUUUGAAGUAUGGAGCACCACAAAAACUACAAAUAAAAAAAAACAAACAAUCCAGCUAACCAAUUUUGUGCUCUCUACUACCAGAACCCACCAAAUUGUAUCUCAGCCCAGCCCGACGGGCCGAUGGGCUGGGCUGAGAUGGAUUUUGGUAGCCCGACUGGAGAAAUCGCUAGCCCCGGGACGUCGGGCUAGCGAUUUUGCGAGCCCUCACUUGAAUUUUUGAAUUUCAGUUUAAGGCAAUUAAAUUCAAUCCAAAAAUUCAAUCCCAACAAUCAAGUGAUCCCCUGUGAGCAACAGUGGACAGGAAAAACUCCCUUUUAACAGGAAGAAACCUGUGACAGAACCAGGCUCAGGGAGGGGCAGUCUUCUGCCAUGACUGGUUGGGAGGUGAGGGCAAAAUAAAACUGAACAUAAAGGAGAGCACAGUAUAGUUAUGAGAGAUUGUGGACCGUGGCUGGAAAACAUUACUGUUUUCAAAAGGCACCCGGUCCACAACCACAACUACAGUAGAGCUGGAAUGGAUAAUAAGGAUACUCCCACAGAGGACGGACAUUCACUUCAAAAUAUUUGCAACGGCCCAGCAAGCUACGGGAACAACAACGGCUGCUGUGACAAGACCUAGACCUACUUUAAGUGCGAGUUUGGCACCAGCACACCACCAACCACUAGUCUGAGACUCGUCAGUAGGUGGUUCUGUGACACGAGUCUUUCGUUCAUUCAACUCCCUUUCAAGGUUGGCCAUCCUAGUAUUAUUCAUUCUAUUUUGCUGCCGGAGAAAUGCUACACGCUGAACUAAUCUCUCAUUCUCUCUUUGCAACUGCUGCUGAGACUCCAAGCCACUAGUCUCAAGAUCAUGUAUAGUUUCCCUGAGAGUCCUUUGCUCUUUCUGUAAUUCACGCGACUUACUUGUAGCCUUGGCCAGCUCCUCAGUGAGAAACGCUAUCUGUCGCGUAAAAUGUAAUUCCUCUGUAUUAUCUCUGUCCUUAGGUGAAUUAUUUAAUGUUUCCUCCGACAUUUCUUUAAUAGUAUAAAAGCACAGUGUCAAAAGAAAAAAACUUUGUAUGAAUUGUAUGAAAGUAUUAUCUUUGUCAAAGACAACUCGCUGUUUCUGAAGACGCACCAAACUGUGUUAUAGCAC